rnacentral:rRNA from 1 species
CACGCACGCUGGCGGCAUGCCUAACACAUGCAAGUCGAACGAGACCUUCGGGUCUAGUGGCGCACGGGUGCGUAACGCGUGGGAACCUGCCCUUAGGUUCGGAAUAACUCCCCGAAAGGGGUGCUAAUACCGGAUAAUGUCUUCGGACCAAAGAUUUAUCGCCUUUGGAUGGGCCCGCGUUGGAUUAGCUAGUUGGUAGGGUAAAAGCCUACCAAGGCGACGAUCCAUAGCUGGUCUGAGAGGAUGAUCAGCCACACUGGGACUGAGACACGGCCCAGACUCCUACGGGAGGCAGCAGUGGGGAAUAUUGGACAAUGGGCGAAAGCCUGAUCCAGCAAUGCCGCGUGAGUGAUGAAGGCCUUAGGGUUGUAAAGCUCUUUUACCCGGGAUGAUAAUGACAGUACCGGGAGAAUAAGCUCCGGCGAACUCCGU